AAUUACUUUGGUGUUUUGCAGCUCUAUUUCGUUCCCUGACGGUAACCAAAUCUAGAUGUAGGAAUCUGUUGAGCAGGAGAGUGACACAUGUCUUCCCAAAGGCUGUCCAGGCUGCAGUGGUGAUGAAGAAGACACGAUCAUCACCCCGAGAUCGAUUGUAGCGAAUUGGAAAACUCAUGGUGAAUUUGCUUCCACUCCAAGGCAAUGUCGAGAGCCUUGACGUUGCUGGACGAGCGACAAUAUAAAUUACAUAAACAUGUAGCUCAUGAUGUGGAAUGACUGCCGUAUCGCAUUGCCAACGCAAACCCAUCCUGUGUCAGUGCAGCCAUCCAGCAACUUCAACUCCCCGGACCAGAUGCCGCUGCAGCUGAACACCAUGCCGAUGGAAAGCCAGGAGUUGAUAGCAAAGCAUUCUGGUCUGCACAGUACAAGCCGGCAAAGAACAAUUAUGAAUUAUAACGCAUUGUAGUCCUUCCCACACUUCUUUGUAAAAACAAACAAACAGUGCCAUUAUCACAACACUUGAUCAAGCAUCUUGAUGGAGGUAUUUUCCAUUGUGCUGGCCCCGCAUCUGCACCAGGAAGACCAUGUACACUUA